UGCAGUUCUUUCCUGUCCCCAAUAAAGAAUGUGUGGUGAAUUUGGAAAUGAAAAAUGCUACAAUGAUGGCCCAGUACUGUUGCACAUUUUAUGAUGUGUUUGCAUGAAGAAUGGGACAAAACAACACCUCAGACACUUCAUUGCUUGGUAUCCUCAAGGCCAAAAUAUAUUUUAAGUGUUAUGAGAAAGAAUGGUAACACUACAUAGUGUCAAAUUCUUGAGCAU